CCUACGGGAGGCAGCAGUGAGGAAUAUUGGUCAAUGGCCGGAAGGCUGAACCAGCCAUGCCGCGUGAAGAUCAGUGCCCUAUGGGCGUUAAACUUCUUUUGUGCGGGAGCAAUAAUGGUCACGUGUGGCCAGACGAGAGUACCGUACGAAUAAGCAUCGGCUAACUCCGUGCCCGCAGCCGCGGUAAUACGGGGGAGGCAAGCGUUAUCCGGAGUUAUUGGGUUUAAAGGGUGCGUAGGCUGGGAGGUAAGUCAGCGGUGAAAUGCCCCCGCUCAACGGGGUGAAGUGCAAUUGAUACUGCCUUGCUGGAAUGCGGAUGCCGUGGGAGGAAUGUGUGGUGUAGCGGUGAAAUGCAUAGAUAUCACACAGAACACCGAUUGCGAAGGCAUCUCACGAAUCCGCGAUUGACGCUGAUGCACGAAAGCGUGGGUAUCAAACAGGAUUAGAUACCCCGGUAGUC
rnacentral:rRNA from 1 species